CCUACGGGCGGCAGCAGUGAGGAAUAUUGGUCAAUGGCCGAGAGGCUGAACCAGCCAAGUCGCGUGAAGGAAGACGGCUCUAUGGGUUGUAAACUUCUUUUAUCGGGGAAUAAAGGUAUCCACGUGUGGAUAUUUGCAUGUACCCUAUGAAUAAGCAUCGGCUAACUCCGUGCCAGCAGCCGCGGUAAUACGGAGGAUGCGAGCGUUAUCCGGAUUUAUUGGGUUUAAAGGGUGCGUAGGUUGGUUUUUAAGUCAGCGGUGAAAGUUUGGGGCUCAACCAUAAAAUUGCAGUUGAAACUGGAAGACUUGAGUGCGGUAGAGGUAGGCGGAAUGCGUGGUGUAGCGGUGAAAUGCAUAGAUAUCACGCAGAACUCCGAUUGCGAAGGCAGCUUACUGGACCACAACUGACGCUGAUGCACGAAAGCGUGGGUAUCAAACAGGAUUAGAUACCCCAGUAGUC
rnacentral:rRNA from 1 species